GAGAUCCUGAGAUCUUAAUAAACAAUUAUUCGUGGCUGAUGUACUUCUGAUGAACUAAAAACAGCAAAAUUCGUCUUGUAAGUAUAAAUCUGAGGCAUAGGCGUAGCUAGGCCAUUUUGCUGGGGGGGGCCUGGCCCCCCACCACCGGGGGGUCUGGGGGGUAUGGAAUACCCCCCAGGUCAGCGGGGGGUCCGGGGGGCCUCCCCGGAAAAUUUUUGAAAUUUUAACUCUAUUUGAGCGCAUCUCGAGGCACUUGUGGCGUUAAUCUUCCUUCAAUUUCUGCAUAAAAUUCACCCAGUUUUAUGCAUUUUAAGGUUAAAAUACUUUGAAAUUGUUGCAUUCAACAGGUUAUUCCAUUUAUUUUCUCACUUUUAACCACUCAUUUGUGUGAAAAUUGCGAAAUAAAUGUUUAGUGAAUGCCAGAAUCAUUGUUCUGUAUUAGGAAAAGCCCAUGCAAAGUAAAAUAUAAUAUAAUGAGCAAGACGUAACUAUGAACGAAUGAGCAUUUGUCAUGUACCAAAAAAAAAGAUAUGAAUUAUGAAUUAGAAAAAAAUCGAUUGCAUCCAGAUUUUUUAGAGCAAUUCAACUGAAUAAUGAACAGAGAAGAAAAAAACUAACCGUUCGAGCGCGAGAUUUUAAGUAAAAACUAUGUGCAUUAAGAGUGAUAAAUUUCAUUGAUUCAUAAUUUUAUUUUACACUCUGAUUUUUCCUCGUUAAUUAGAGGUAAUUGAAUAAACAAAGCAGGAUGGAAUUAAUGUUUUUCUUAUUGUUGUUCAGUUGCUCUAUUUCCCGGAAGAAAUACACUUAUUUUAUUUUAUUUUUUUUCUUUUUGCUCUUAAUUAAUCUUCUUUUUUAAAAUGUUUGCAAGAACAUUUUACAUAGCUUUCUCCUUCAAUUCGAAAGAUAGGCAUCCUCUCACGGGCCACGGCGACAGAGACUUACCGUUAAAGAUGGUGUUUUUGCACCAUCCAGAAUUUCUGGGGGGGGGGGCCAGAUGAUACUAUUUCCAAUUUUGGGGGGGGCCAGGCCCCCCCUGGCCCCCCCUUCCUACGCCACUGAUCUGAGGACUACAUAAAAUCAGCGGGUUCGCAAAAAUUGACGUACUUAAGACAGAACAACAGUGAGAAGUAUUUUUAGAC
rnacentral:lncRNA from 1 species